rnacentral:rRNA from 1 species
CAGAGGGGGCAAGCGUUAUUCGGAAUUAUUGGGCGUAAAGGGCGCGUAGGCGGCUUGGCAAGUGAUGGGUGAAAUCCCUCGGCUUAACCGAGGAACUGCCCAUCAAACUGCUUGGCUUGAGGCCGGGAGAGGCGAGUGGAAUUCCCAGUGUAGCGGUGAAAUGCGUAGAUAUUGGGAGGAACACCAGUGGCGAAGGCGGCUCGCUGGACCGGUUCUGACGCUGAGGCGCGAAAGCGUGGGGAGCAAACGGGAUUAGAUACCCCGGUAGCCCACGCCGUAAACGAUGAGUGCUUGGUGUAGCGGGUAUCGACCCCUGCUGUGCCGAAGUCAACACAUUAAGCACUCCGCCUGGGGAGUACGGUCGCAAGGCUG